AUGCCUACGUGGAGAGGUUCCGGCGCCUGGUGCGGCCGGCGGGCACCCUGGACAGUGUGGUGGGCCCCAUCCUGCAGCUAUCCCACGCGGGACUGGACGCUGUGCUGGCAAGUGGCCGGGCGGCGGCCUCGCUGUGGGAGCCAGAGCCAGGCCAGGCGGGCGCUGACACACCACUUGCCACUCUACCUGGAGAGGCUGCAGGCCGGGCUGGAGCAGCUGCGGAAUGAGCUGGAACGGCCCCUGGCCACGCUGAAGGAUGCCUACCUGGAGGUGACACUGCGGCCCCUGGACGAGCUGUGGCAGGAACGGGCGCAGGAGGCCGUGCAGCUGUUGCGGGCCGUGCGGCCCAGGCCCAUCGGGGCAGCCCUGGAGCUGGCCGCCCGCCAGAUGCUGUCCUGGGCCGAAGCCACUUUGUCACGGGCCCUGAGGAGGCUCUGCAAGCCGUUGCUGGCUCUGUACAGCUUCUCAGCCAGAAACUGCUCUGUGAUGGUGACACUGCCGCUGCUGCCUGCGGGGGACGAGCCCCUGACCAUGGCCCGGGUGACCGGCCACCUGGUGGAGGAGAAGCUGCUGCGGCCCCUCCGCGAGCUGUACGGGACCCGCGUGCUGGCCGAGUACUACCGGCUGCAGCGUCUCCUGCUGGAGAGCCCCCAUGACUACCAUGCUGUGGUGGCCGGGGACAGGCAUGUGGUAACCUUCGAUGGCCAGGUGUGGAGUCUUGGUGGCCACUGUGGCAGUCUGCUGCUGGCCAAGGACUUCGCCCACAACACGUUCUCGCUGACGCUGAACCGGGCCCCUUCAGGACUCACAUCCCUGUCCGUGGAGCUGAACCACACGACCCUGGUCCUCUACCCAAACCUAAAGACCUACAAGCUGUACGACUCCUCCCUGCCUACGGAGAUCUGUCCGCACCUGGAUCUGCCACCUGCUAAGACAAGGGGGGACAUUCCCAAGAUCGAACUGACCAGUGAGGACGGCAUCUCAGUCACCUAUGAUGUGCGAACUGGCCUCUGCAGCCUGACUCUGGGCCUCUGGCUCCAUGGUGUGUCUGCUGGCCUUCUAGGUACCAAUGACAAUGAGGCAGCCAAUGAGUGGAUGCUGCCAGAUGGCAAAGUGGCCCAGAGCCUGGAGGAGCUCACCCUCGCCUGGCAGGUAGGUGGUGACUGCAGGGCCAUGGAGAAACCUCAGGAGUGCCCAGCCCAGAGCCUCACCUGCUGGGCCUUCUUCCAGGACCCUCAUUCCUGCCUGGGGAACUGCUUCAGAGUGGUGGACCCCACACCCUUCCUUGGCCUGUGCAACCAGGACACCUGUGGCACCCAGGAGCUCCACUCUGCCUGUAACCUGGCAGCCACUUACAUCCACUUGUGUGCCCGGGGCUUCGUGCCCCUGGACCCUCCUCCACAGUGUGUUUGA
rnacentral:lncRNA from 1 species